UAAAAUUUAAACGACGCGAGUCGUUCAAGUUUUAACAAUAUGCCAGUUAAGUAAUUCUGCCUAUAAUUACAAUCUGUCAAAAUGUCUUGCACAGAGAAUGGGAAUUCACAUUGUUAUACAGAAAGCACAAUAAACACCAGAUGACUCAACAACAUAUUGCUCCAGGCUUAAUAGAGUUUUGAGCAAGUUGAAAACCAGAGGGUACUGGGGAAAAUAGUCUGCUCAUCCUGCUGCUAGGACCAUUUAAGAGACUGGUGAGAUGCACAACCAAUGAUAACACUAUCAAGUUGUUCAUCAGGCUAAUUUACAGGUUAUCAUACCGAGUUUCUCGUCCUUUUGCUAAUUGCUACCAUUCACAACGUCCAUGGAAAUGCACGUUCAAAGAAGAUGAUCACUUCAUUCGCAGACUAAUCUACAAGUAAUCAUUGGAAGCUUUUGUGUUCAUCCUUCCGCUGACAGCAACCAUUUGGGUCUUCUGAUGGAAAUGCACAUACAAAGAAACCACCACUUUGUUCGGCAGACUAUUCUACGGUUGUCAGUGGUGUGAUUCGAUCAAGAGGGUCAAAUGGUGAAAUUGCAGAGCUAAGGUA
rnacentral:misc_RNA from 1 species